CGGCAAGGCUUCCUGGCCAAGCCGCCCGGCGGCCGGAAACUGCGCAAGGAGCGCAAGAACCGCAUGAAGAAGGUGCGCGGCACGGCCAAGGCCAAGGUGACCUCCGGCAAGAAGUGAGCUGGCCGGCCGUCCACCAUCACUGCUCCCUCAUCUGUGUCCCUGCGACUGUCAAUAAAUACCUGACCGUCGCCA